CCGCGGGCCUCUGUGGCCGGGGAGCUCCGCCAGCGCAUUGUGCGAGCGAGCUGAAUGCAGCCGAGACGUGCGCGCGCGGGCUCGCACGGAUUAGCCGCGCUUUCCCAUGAACCACAAAAGAAUGCCCGAAUCUGGGACGUUUGUCAUCAAGGGGCAGGCUGCUCAGGAUGCAAGUCAAAGGAAAGCGAAAGCCUCCUGGAGUUGAGCCUGAAGUCAGAGCUCACAGAAGAAGGGCCGUCCCGGUGGCGCUGCAGGGAGGUGAUCUGCUCCUGGAGACAAAGCCCACCCGAAAGGAGCAACACUAGAGGGUUCCAGCAGACACACCUGAGUACCAAAGGACCCGCCCCCAGCUAAACCUGUUUGUCUUCAAGAAAUAGUGAACGUGUUCUUCUUGAGUUGUUUGUUUAUUGAUUCAUUCCACAACCAUGUAUGAAAGGUUCAAAGAUUCUGAGCCUUGUGCUAGGAAUUGGAAGAGGAAUCGGAUGGAUCUGCUUUGGAGGGGUUCAUGGGGCAGAGGAGGAGGAGAGGCAGGGAAGCACAUGGUUGGGUGUGCUGAGUGCCAAAGUCAGGUUACUAGUAGAUGAUGUUUAGGAGAACAGACAGGAAGCUGAGAGGAUGGGGUGAGAUUUCCAGAGAAAGUGGUAUUUGGAGAGGGUGUUAGCAUUGGUUCUCAAUUUGCUCAUGCUUUGGAAGGAACUUAAGGAGGGGACACAAAUUCAUAUUCUGUGCCCCCACUCCCGUACCAAGUUAUAAUAGAAUCUCCGAAGGUAGGGCAGGGAACCUGUAUUUAACAAGUGACUUCGCGCACUCUAUGGUGGUCAGCUGAGUCUUUGGUCCCAUUGAAAGCAUGAGCAACAGUGGUGUGAGGGGAAGGGUUUGGGGCUAAUGGAACAGCAUGUGCGAAUACAGCAGGGGUGAGAGAGACCUUGUUUGGCCGAUGGUGAGUUGUUAAACCAUUCGUCUCAAGAGCCUGUGGUUGGUAUUCCUGCAACAACUGUGUAGAAAGCCUUCACUUCUAGAAUUUAUUUGUUCCCUUAAGUUGACAAUUGUAUUACUCUAGUAGGAAUCAAUGGAGAAAAAACACACAUUAUAGUACAGUUAAGUCUUAACGUGGUUGAUAGCUCUUGGAAACUGAAACUUUAAGUGAAACGGAGUAUAACAAAACUAUUUACCAUAGGCUAAAUGAUAUAAACAAGCAAAUUAUUACCGCAUGUUUCUGGUCACAAAAACAUUACCAAAAUUCUAAAUAAAGACUCAACGCCCUUCUAAUAUUAAAUAUUGAAAUAAAUGUGAGCUAUAGACACACUUAAGAAAGAUUAAUAAAAACAAGUAAGAAUUAUUUACCUGAUUAUUUCAGUUCAGGAUUGAGGAUGGCCAGACCCCCUCUUGGUUGUUGAGGGCAGCAGUUGGGAACCCUCCCUGGACCCUGGAUGGGAUGCCAUCCCAUCGCAGGGUGCACUCACACACACAGCCACGCUAACACUGGGAUAUUGUAGACACACCAACUUACCUAACGUGCACAUCUUUGGGAUAUGGGAGAAAACUGAGUACCUGGAGAAGACCCAUAUAGACAUGGGAAGACUGUGCAAACUCACACAGACAGUGGCCCUGGUGGGGAAGCGAUGCUUUUUUCUCAUCAGUGUUUUUUUGAGACAGAGUCUUACUCUGUCGCCCAGGCUGGAGUGCAGUAGCAUGAUCUCAGCUCACUGCAACCUCCACCUCGUGGGCUCAAGCAAUUCUCUUGCCUCGGCCUCCCCAGUAGCUGGAUUACAGGUGCGCGUCUAGCUAAUUUUUGUAUUUUUACUAGAAACGGGGUUUCACCAUGUUGGUCAGGCUGGUCUCAAACUCCCGGCCUCAAGCAAUGCCCCCCCACCACGGCCUCCCAAAGUGCUAGGAUUACAGGCAUGAGCCACCGCACCUGGGCUUUCUCAUCAAUGUUAUUUUGAAAAGAUGUUGAAUCAAAUGAUGGUAUUUGAGGACCUGCCAUACUUGAUUUAGGGCCCCUCUCCAGCAAGACAAGCACACACAAACACACUGCUGAAAUGUAUCCAGUUAACAUAAUGAGAGAGACCUGUUUUUCUGAGGGUUGCCAGGUAUCUCAUACAAAGUCUUAGAUAAAAGGUAAAUUCUUAUUUUGAAAACACUAGAUUAAUGGCUGAAUAUUUAUUUUAUAAGUAAAUAAUUAUUUUGCAACUACAUCAUAAAAUAUGUAGUCAUAAAGGCUUUCCAUGUAAUCAGCUGUGACAGAAAAAGCUUUUGAGAUGCUUGUGGGGGAAAAGUUAUUGUACAGAACUGAAUUGUAAAGCAACUGGCCCUUUCUAUUUUAAGCCUUGUAACUAGCCAGUGAUAUGAAGUGUUGAAGUAUGAGAAUGGAGACAUUUAUUAAAUUUUCUCAACUAAGGAGGUAUUCAAACUUGAUUUUCUGUUUCAUAAUUAAAGCUUCAAGUCUUCUGACAAACACUACUGCAAUACA